rnacentral:rRNA from 1 species
UACGGGAAGGGCAAGCGUUAUCCGGCGUGACUGGGCGUAAAGAGUCCGUAGACGGUAAAGUAAGUUUAUUGUUAAAAUAUUAAAAACUUAAUUUUAAUAGAGCAAUAAGUACUGCUUUACUUUUGAGUUUAAUAUAGAAAAAGUAGAAAUUUUUAUAUGGUAGGGGGUGAAAAUCCGUAGAUAUAUAAAAGGGAAUGUCAA